rnacentral:rRNA from 1 species
AAUGAACGCUGGCGGCAGGCCUAACACAUGCAAGUCGAACGAGUGGCGGACGGGUGAGUAAUGUCUGGGAAACUGCCCGAUGGAGGGGGAUAACAACUGGAAACGGUAGCUAAUACCGCAUACCAUCGGAUGUGCCCCGAUGGGAUUAGCUUGUAGGUGAGGUAACGGAUCACCUAGGCGAAGAUCCCUAGCUGGUCUGAGAGGAUGACCAGCCACCCUGGAACGUAGCCACGGUCCAGACUCCUACGGGAGGCAGCAGUGGGGAAUAUUGCACAAUGGGCUCAAGCCUGAUGCAGCCAUGCCGCGUGUAUGAAGAAGGCCUUCGGGUUGUAAUGUACUUUCAGUGGGGAGGCGUUACCCGCAGAAGAAGCACCGGCUAACUCCGUGCCAGCAGCCGCGGUAAUAC